GAUGAACGCUGGCGGCAUGCCUUACACAUGCAAGUCGAACGGCAGCACGGGUGCUUGCACCUGGUGGCGAGUGGCGAACGGGUGAGUAAUACAUCGGAACGUACCGUGUAAUGGGGGAUAACGUAGCGAAAGUUACGCUAAUACCGCAUACGACCUGAGGGUGAAAGCAGGGGGUCGCAAGACCUUGCGUUAUACGAGCGGCCGAUGUCAGAUUAGCUAGUUGGUGAGGUAAAGGCUCACCAAGGCGACGAUCUGUAGCGGGUCUGAGAGGAUGAUCCGCCACACUGGGACUGAGACACGGCCCAGACUCCUGCGGGAGGCAGCAGUGGGGAAUUUUGGACAAUGGGGGCAACCCUGAUCCAGCCGUGCCGCGUGAGUGAAGAAGGCCUUCGGGUUGUAAAGCUCUUUCGGCCGGGAAGAAAUCGCACAGGCUAAUACUCUGUGUGGAUGACGGUACCGGCAUAAGAAGCACCGGCUAACUACGUGCCAGCCGCCGCAGUAA
rnacentral:rRNA from 1 species